GGGCGAAUAGCUCAGCGGGAGAGCAUCUGCCUUACACGCAGAGGGUCACAGGUUCAAUCCCUGUUUCGCCCACCA
rnacentral:tRNA from 1 species